UACAGAGGUCUCAAGCGUUGUUCGGAUUCACUGGGCGUAAAGGGUGCGUAGGCGGCGCGGUAAGUCGGGUGUGAAAUUUCGGAGCUUAACUCCGAAACUGCAUUCGAUACUGGCGUGCUUGAGGACUGGAGAGGAGACUGGAAUUCAUGGUGUAGCGGUGAAAUGCGUAGAGAUCAUGAGGAAGACCAGUGGCGAAGGCGGGUCUCUGGACAGUUCCUGACGCUGAGGCGCGAAGGCCAGGGGAGCAAACGGG
rnacentral:rRNA from 1 species